AUGGCUGUAAUGCCCGCACGGACGCUCGGAUUUGGACAGGCAUGCCAUUCUUCAGUUCUGUUUGGUUUGUUUUGAAAGAGGUUUAAGAUUAAGUGAAAACAGUCGCUCUUAGUCUGGAAUCAGAGUGUCCACACGGGGAGUUACACUGGUAAUAACAGGUGCAUCGGUUUAACGAUAGUGGUGUAAUUACACGGGUAAAAUGCUUCUGUGUGGACAAGCCUAACUUGACCUGUAAUAACUUGGGUUUCCUGUCAUAGCGCCCCCGGGUGCCUGGAGGUGGCAUUUCAAGGGGUCUUCAACCCUUGCGCCUCUGCAGCCCAUCUGCCUCUCCUCAGGUGUUGCGUGGCUCAGCCCUCCACCUAAAGUCCAAGCCCCGUCCGGGGUGCCCAGAACCCCAAAUGAACGCCACUUUGAACAACCGUCCCAAAUUAGCCUAACAAAAGGUCCUUCGCUCCCUCCUGGGCUCUACCCACAUUUCUUUUUACUCUUAUCAGCUCACUGGCUCCCCAGGCUUUUCCCACUCAGAGUCCAAAUGCUGAUCAUCCACCCCGCCAGGCUUCCUCUUUGGUUCCCUGCUCCUGUAGGCCCUGGCUCAGGGCCCCUCACUGGAGCCUUCCCUGCUCCCUGUGACUCUCCCGGUCCCUGUUCCCUUUCUGGAACAGUGGCCCCAGGACAGCCUCCUUGGAUCGUCCCCUCUCCCAGAGCCCACCAUGGAGAUUAGUUCUAUCCCCAGGGCUUUCCCCUCUCUGCCUGCCCCAGGCCAUUCCCUGUCUCCCCUCUCCUGGGUCUGCUCCCUUCAGUGGAGAUCCCUCAGCUCCUUACAAGGCCCAAGGUCUAGUUAGCUCUGCUCUCUCCGGCCGGGAGGCCAUCAAUUAAUCACCCCACAGGUAUGGCCCAUAACUCUCUUUCUUCCUUGUCUAGCAGGUGACAGAGGUCCCCCCAUCACAGACCCCACCAGCAGGCAGCACCUGAACUUCCCUGCAGGCCGUGUCUAGGGGGUGAUGCCCAGCUCAGCGAGGUAGCGCGUUACCAGUAGCAGCGUAGCCGAGGUAGCCCAGGCAGCGGGAGUGCUGACAUGGGCCAGCCCACCCAGUACAAACCUGCCUGGACCCCUGGAUGUACUCAGGGCAACUAGCCUGGGCCGUGGCUGCACAAGUUACCAUGGCUACACUGCUGUUUUUAGCACACUAGCGCGAUGAGGUGUGUGUACACGAGUGGGGAAUCACCCCCAGUUCACAGUGUAGACAUAGCGUAUGGGCAUAUCAGCAGUAGUAGGAUUUCAUGUUUGUAUUUUAUAUAAUUUAGAAUGAAGGCUAAAGAAUAAUAAUGUAGCAUGUAUUAAAUGUACUGAUGUAUGAUUUGAUCAUAUCCUGCCAGAAUAGCAGAAAGGAAUGGCCUAGUGGGCCAUUGGUAGAGAGACAUCAGCCAGAAUCUGUGUCUAUGCUGAUUUCAAGGCAGUGACAGGCCUUUGGGGGUCACCAAUUUGUUGCAUUUUUAAAUCAGUAAAAGAACGCGGGGUUUGUUUUCUCUGGCAUUGCAACUUCAUGUUCCUGUUCAAAAUGUUGUGUGUAAAUCAAUUCUGUGUUGUGGGUGAAUGAGGGAUGGGGGUUAAGAGGUAAGUGUGAAGGCCAUCGCUGAGCCAGAUGGAUGAGGGAGGAACCGGAGACAGACGCAAGGGCACCAGGAGGCUGCAACAUGCCCCUAUUGGAAUGUCAGAGGAGGGCAGAUUGACGACUCUAAAGAUGGAGCAGGCACCUAUCAGUGGGGACAAGACAGCUGUGAUCAAACCCAGCCUGGAGUAACGCCCUGAGAGACCUGAUGAAAGAACAAGAUAAAGGAUGAGAAGGACAAUUUAAGAAAACAAGCCCUCGUCAGCAUGACGGUGCAAAACUCACGGGUCCCAGUGAAGGCAGAUCACUAUAUAAACAGGGGACUUGCCAUGGAAGGUUGGGUUCGUCCUGCCCAGACUUCCCCAGAGCAUCGUGUUGUGACCGACAGAACCCAACCCCUCCCUACCCAUGAUCAACCUUGCUGGCAACUAGGUUGAUCCAGAUUCUGGACUGGUUGUGGUAACCUGUGUCUGAACUAUUUAAUGGAUAAAUUACCCUGUGCUAAUUCCCAGGAUGUUUGGAAGGAGAAUUAAGCCUGUUGUUUUCUUAGGCCGAAAGGCUGCUGGAAAUGUAUAAGAACCCUGGGACAUGAUCCUGCUUCAUCUCAGAUCUGCUUUGGGUUUCAAGAGGGGGAAACCUUAAGCCACAAGGAUUGAAAUCCCCAGUCACUGACUGGAGCCACCCUGAAUAUGGACAUUGGACUAUAACCUCUGGACUAUUUCUGAAAGGACUUUUGGCAACUACAAGCUCAUCUCUACUAUGUAUCUGAACCUCAAGAAUUGAAUUCAAGUCUGUCUGUAUAUUGAUCUUUUAACCAACUCUCUCUCUCUUUUCUUUUUUAAUAAAUUUUAGCUCAGUUAAUAAGAA